rnacentral:misc_RNA from 1 species
GAUGAAGAACGCAGCGAAAUGCGAUAAGUAAUGCGAAUUGCAGAAUUCAGUGAGUCAUCGAAUCUUUGAACGCACAUUGCGCCCCUUGGCAUUCCGAGGGGCACACCUGUUCGAGCGUCAUUUGUACCCUCAAGCUUUGCUUGGUGUUGGGCGUCUUGUCUCUAGCUUUGCUGGAGACUCGCCUUAAAGUAAUUGGCAGCCGGCCUACUGGUUUCGGAGCGCAGCACAAGUCGCACUCUCUAUCAGCAAAGGUCUAGCAUCCAUUAAGCCUUUUUUUCAACUUUUGACCUCGGAUCAGGUAGGGAUACCCGCUGAACUUAAGCAUAUCAAUAAGCGGAGGA